rnacentral:rRNA from 1 species
GACGAACGCUGGCGGCGUGCUUAACACAUGCAAGUCGAACGGAAAGGCCCUGCUUUUGUGGGGUGCUCGAGUGGCGAACGGGUGAGUAACACGUGAGUAACCUGCCCUUGACUUUGGGAUAACUUCAGGAAACUGGGGCUAAUACCGGAUAGGAGCUCCUGCUGCAUGGUGGGGGUUGGAAAGUUUCGGCGGUUGGGGAUGGACUCGCGGCUUAUCAGCUUGUUGGUGGGGUAGUGGCUUACCAAGGCUUUGACGGGUAGCCUGCCUGAGAGGGUGACCGGGCACAUUGGGACUGAGAUACGGCCCAGACUCCUACGGGAGGCAGCAGUGGGGAAUAUUGCACAAUGGGCGGAAGCCUGAUGCAGAAACGCCGCGUGCGGGAUGACGGCCUUCGGGUUGUAAACCGCUUUCGCCUGUGACGAAGCGUGAGUGACGGUAAUGGGUAAAGAAGCACCGGCUAACUACGUG